CGGAUCGAAUCAAUUCAAGUGCAAGUGAAAUUGACCUCGGGUUAAUCGGGGUGGUUCGGAGCAACGGGGCGAGAGAGAAAAAAGGUUGGCGGGGGCACCGACGCCGUACACCUCACUUUUUCGAGCAAUAAUCCUAUGGUUGAGUGAAGGUUUGGUGGAGCAAAAAUGCUCUUAAAUAGAAAGCUAUCUUCGACUUUUUUGUGUGCUGCUUCUCCUCCUCAACCUCCUCGUUCAGACUCGCUUUUAUGUUGGGGCAGCGUUAAAGGCUUCCUGGAUUUUUGGUGGCUCACUAAAUCGAGGUGCCCCAAGUGCUUU
ensembl:ncRNA F46G11.10 ncRNA